CAGUCGCCGCGGGAAUACGGAAGGUCCAGGCGUUAUCCGGAUUUAUUGGGUUUAAAGGGAGUGUAGGCGGUCUGUUAAGCGUGUUGUGAAAUUUAGGUGCUCAACAUUUAACUUGCAGCGCGAACUGGCGGACUUGAGUGCACGCAACGUAUGCGGAAUUCAUGGUGUAGCGGUGAAAUGCUUAGAUAUCAUGACGAACUCCGAUUGCGAAGGCAGCGUACAGGAGUGUUACUGACGCUUAAGCUCGAAGGUGCGGGUAUCGAACAGGAUUAGAGACCCGUGUAGUCCCUGUCUCUUAUAC
rnacentral:rRNA from 1 species